GGCGACAUAGCCAAGCGGUAAGGCACGGGUCUGCAAAACCCUUAUCCCCCGGUUCAAAUCCGGGUGUCGCCUCCA
rnacentral:tRNA from 1 species